GAUCUCUUAGUUCAGUGGUAGAAUGUCUGAUUCCAGCUGAACGAACACCUGUGUUUGUCCUGGAGCUUCCAGAAGGUCGUCCGUUCGAUCCGGGCAGAGAUCA